AGAGUUUGAUCAUGGCUCAGGAUGAACGCUAGCGACAGGCUUAACACAUGCAAGUCGAGGGGCAGCGAGGGAGUGGCAACACUUCUGUCGGCGACCGGCGCACGGGUGAGUAACGCGUAUGCAACCUGCCCUUCACAGGGGGAUAACCGGGAGAAAUUCCGACUAAUACCGCAUACGUCCCCUGGGGGCAUCCCCUGGGGAUGAAAGAAUUAUCGGUGAAGGAUGGGCAUGCGUGAUAUUAGGUAGUUGGCGGGGCAACGGGUCCACCGAAGCCCACGAUAUCUAGGGGUUCUGAGAGGAAGGUCCCCCACAUCGGUACUGAGACACGGACCAAACUCCUACGGGAGCA
rnacentral:rRNA from 1 species